AGCAUAAUCAAACAAACGAAAGCAAGGAAACGGGACAAAUAGUGAGAGCAGACCUGGAAAGAAAUCUGAACCGUCUGCAAUUCCUAACUCUUAAAGGCAAGAGGAGACAGCGGUGUGCCAGAAAGCAAUUCCGAGAUCGAAGUGUAAUUAUUGAUUAGGGAAUUGAAGUUUGAAGGAUGAUCAAGUUGAAUUAGGAAGUUGUUUUGGAACAUCCAUUAGUAUGCAUAUAUUGUAGUCAUUAUUUCCUUUAUACCUUGAAAUGGUCGAACCUUUUAUCAUGAGUUUGGUGUGGUAUUAAGAAUGGAUGUUUAGAACAUGUAAUUUAUUUUUUUUAUUGGAUAAAUUUAUGUUUCAAGUUGAUUGGAAUUGUGCUUAGAAUUGAACGUUCAGUUGUUU